AGGCAGCAGUGGGGAAUAUUGCACAAUGGGGGAAACCCUGAUGCAGCCAUGCCGCGUGUGUGAAGAAGGCCUUCGGGUUGUAAAGCACUUUCAGUAGGGAGGAAGGUAGUGUAGUUAACACCUGCACUAGUUUGACGUUACCUACAGAAGAAGCACCGGCUAACUCCGUGCCAGCAGCCGCGGUAAUACGGGAGGGUGCGAGCGUUAAUCGGAAUUACUGGGCGUAAAGCGCAUGCACGGCGGCCUGUUAAGUCAGAUGUGAAAGCCCGGGGCUUAACCUCGGAAUUGCAUUUAGAAACUGGCAGGCUAGAGUCUUGUAGAGGGGGGUAGGAAUUUCAGGUGUAGCGGUGAAAUGCGUAGAGAUCUGAAGGAAUACCAGUGGCGAAGGCGGCCCCCUGGACAAAGACUGACGCUCAGAUGCGAAAGCGUGGGGAGCAAACAGGAUUAGAUACCCUGGUAG
rnacentral:rRNA from 1 species